UACGUAGGGUGCGAGCGUUAAUCGGAAUUACUGGGCGUAAAGCGUGCGCAGGCGGUUAUGUAAGACAGUUGUGAAAUCCCCGGGCUCAACCUGGGAAUGCAUCUGUGACUGCAUAGCUAGAGUACGGUAGAGGGGGAUGGAAUUCCGCGUGUAGCAGUGAAAUGCGUAGAUAUGCGGAGGAACACCGAUGGCGAAGGCAAUCCCCUGGACCU
rnacentral:rRNA from 1 species